UAAUAAGUGUUUUAUGGCACUUUUUAAAUCCAUAUCCACCUUGUGUGCAAAAAAAAUGUCUAAGUCGAUCUUCUUCAUGGAGAUCGACCAAACAUCAACCUUUAUCUUUUAACUCUUUGUCUGAAAAAUAUUAUGAAUAAACAAUUCAAAAUA
rnacentral:misc_RNA from 1 species